CCUACGGGAGGCUGCAGUAGGGAAUCUUCCACAAUGGGCGAAAGCCUGAUGGAGCAACGCCGCGUGGGUGAAGAAGGUCUUCGGAUCGUAAAACCCUGUUGUUAGAGAAGAAAGUUCGUGAGAGUAACUGUUCACGUUUCGACGGUAUCUACCCAGAAAGCCACGGCUAACUACGUGCCAGCAGCCGCGGUAAUACGUAGGUGGCAAGCGUUAUCCGGAUUUAUUGGGCGUAAAGGGAACGCAGGCGGUCUUUUAAGUCUGAUGUGAAAGCCUUCGGCUUAACCGGAGUAGUGCAUUGGAAACUGGGAGACUUGAGUGCAGAAGAGGAGAGUGGAACUCCAUGUGUAGCGGUGAAAUGCGUAGAUAUAUGGAAGAACACCAGUGGCGAAAGCGGCUCUCUGGGCUGUAACUGACGCUGAGGUUCGAAAGCGUGGGUAGCAAACAGGAUUAGAUACCCGAGUAGUC
rnacentral:rRNA from 1 species